GACGAACGCUGGCGGCAGGCCUAACACAUGCAAGUCGAGCGGCAGCGGAAAGUAGCUUGCUACUUUGCCGGCGAGCGGCGGACGGGUGAGUAAUGUCUGGGAAACUGCCUGAUGGAGGGGGAUAACUACUGGAAACGGUAGCUAAUACCGCAUGACCUCGAAAGAGCAAAGUGGGGGAUCUUCGGACCUCACGCCAUCGGAUGUGCCCAGAUGGGAUUAGCUAGUAGGUGAGGUAAUGGCUCACCUAGGCGACGAUCCCUAGCUGGUCUGAGAGGAUGACCAGCCACACUGGAACUGAGACACGGUCCAGACUCCUACGGGAGGCAGCAGUGGGGAAUAUUGCACAAUGGGCGCAAGCCUGAUGCAGCCAUGCCGCGUGUGUGAAGAAGGCCUUAGGGUUGUAAAGCACUUUCAGCGAGGAGGAAGGCAUCAUACUUAAUACGUGUGGUGAUUGACGUUACUCGCAGAAGAAGCACCGGCUAACUCCGUGCCAGCAGCCGCGGUAAUACGGAGGGUGCAAGCGUUAAUCGGAAUUACUGGGCGUAAAGCGCACGCAGGCGGUUUGUUAAGUCAGAUGUGAAAUCCCCGCGCUUAACGUGGGAACUGCAUUUGAAACUGGCAAGCUAGAGUCUUGUAGAGGGGGGUAGAAUUCCAGGUGUAGCGGUGAAAUGCGUAGAGAUCUGGAGGAAUACCGGUGGCAAAGGCGGCCCCCUGGACAAAGACUGACGCUCAGGUGCGAAAGCGUGGGGAGCAAACAGG
rnacentral:rRNA from 1 species